GACGAACGCUGGCGGCGUGCUUAACACAUGCAAGUCGAACGGAAAGGCCCUGCUUUUGUGGGGUGCUCGAGUGGCGAACGGGUGAGUAACACGUGAGUAACCUGCCCUUGACUUUGGGAUAACUUCAGGAAACUGGGGCUCAUACCGGAUAGGAGCUCCUGCUGCAUGGUGGGGGUUGGAAAGUUUCGGCGGUUGGGGAUGGACUCGCGGCUUAUCAGCUUGUUGGUGGGGUAGUGGCUUACCAAGGCUUUGACGGGUAGCCGGCCUGAGAGGGUGACCGGCCACAUUGGGACUAAGAUACGGCCCAGACUCCUACGGGAGGCAGCAGUGGGGAAUAUUGCACAAUGGGCGGAAGCCUGAUGCAGCAACGCCGCGUGCGGGAUGACGGCCUUCGGGUUGUAAACCGCUUUCGCCUGUGACGAAGCGUGAGUGACGGUAAUGGGUAAAGAAGCACCGGCUAACUACGUG
rnacentral:rRNA from 1 species